GACCUGCCACUCGCCUAUCAAAACUGUAUCGCAAAUUUAACUACCCCUCAGUAACUCGAAAUGUCAAAACUAAAUUGUACGAAAAAUUAUUCAAACUGGCAACAAAGCAAAAAUUGUUGAUUUAGAAUAACAGUUACCUUAGUUACCACUGUUAUUUUGUUGGUAAAUAAAAAUAGUCUUAAAAUGAAUCAAAGUGUGACUGUGUUUACUAGAAUAAUGACUUCGUCAGAAAAGUUUCAGGAUGCCCGUUGCAAAGCCGAGCAACAAGUAUCUGCCAAGCUGAGCUGCAAGUUCCUUGUAUUAUUACAAGAAAUUGAGCUUUGUUUAUGAUGUGGAACUAUUAACUUAUGGGGUAGUUCAUGAGCGCCUCGUUUGGAAACAGGACCAUACGACAGCUUGCGGUCAGAAAGCAGGAAACAGUGAUCAGGGUCGCAUUCAGAUUGAGCAGAAUUAUGACUUUUUGAUAGAUAGUAAAAUUGUGUAGAUAGUAAGGUAGUAAAAUAUUCCAGAAAGCGAACUGGAAAUGCCAGCACCAAUUCAGCAGCAUUCAAGAACUGAUAAUGAUUUUAGGCAAAUGGCAUCGAGUCGGAUUCGGAUCUCGUCGGAGCGGUAGGAAAUUAUUCAUGUGAUCAAUGUUGUAUAAAAAAUAAAGCAUCCCUAAUGAAAUCAGUUCAACAUUUUA